UACGAAGGGGGCUAGCGUUGCUCGGAAUCACUGGGCGUAAAGCGCACGUAGGCGGAUUGCUAAGUCAGGGGUGAAAUCCUGGAGCUCAACUCCGGAACUGCCUUUGAUACUGGCGAUCUCGAGUCCGGGAGAGGUGAGUGGAACUGCGAGUGUAGAGGUGAAAUUCGUAGAUAUUCGCAAGAACACCAGUGGCGAAGGCGGCUCACUGGCCCGGUACUGACGCUGAGGUGCGAAAGCGUGGGGAGCAAACAGG
rnacentral:rRNA from 1 species